rnacentral:rRNA from 1 species
GUGGGGAAUCUUCCGCAAUGGACGAAAGUCUGACGGAGCAACGCCGCGUGAGUGAAGAAGGUUUUCGGAUCGUAAAGCUCUUUCGUUAGGGACGAACGUGCUCUUUGUGAAUAAUGAGGAGUAAUGACGGUACCUAAAUAAGAAGCCACGGCUAACUACGUGCCAGCAGCCGCGGUAAUACGUAGGUGGCAAGCGUUGUCCGGAAUUAUUGGGCGUAAAGCGCGCGCACGCGGGAUAUCAAGUCUGUCUUAAAAGUGCGAGGCUCAACCUCGUGAGGGGACAGAAACUGGUAUUCUUGAGUGUCGGAGAGGAAAGUGGAAUUCCAAGUGUAGCGGUGAAAUGCGUAGAGAUUUGGAAGAACACCAGUGGCGAAGGCGACUUUCUGGACGAUGUCUGACGCUGAGGCGCGAAAGCUAGGGGAGCGAACGGGAUUAGAUACCCGAGUAGUCC